AAAGUCGUAACAAGGUUUCCGUAGGUGAACCCGCGGAAGGAUCAUUAAAGAGAUAGGGUCUUCAUGGCCCGACCCUCCAACCCUCUGUUUUAUAACUAUCCUUGUUUGGCUUGGCGGGACCGUCUCGGUCUCGAGCGCACUAACCCUCGGGUUGGUGAGCGCCCGCCAGAGUCCAACCAAACUCUUGUAUUAAACCAGUCGUCUGAGUAUAAAAUUUUAAUUAAAAUUAAAAA
rnacentral:misc_RNA from 1 species